GCAGACAUGCAGGACAGGUGUAGAGGGCAGGGGACAGCUUCUGAGAGCCCCAUGGCCUUGUCCCAGCAAGUCUCUUGGAGGAUUUAGAGAGUCCAGGUUCACACACUUGCAUGUUACAAAGGAGAGUCUUAAGAGUUUUCUUCUUCCUUGCUACUGAUUUUGAUAGAAAUAAACCUCUCCUAUUUUGAAGCCAUUGUCUAUACCCCACCUUGCGGGCCGAGGGUGUAACACGCCAGUGCAGUACCCUCUCCAGGCCACGCUGGUAUUGGAGAGCGAGGAGGAGUAUGAGGGACAGGCACGCUGAACAUCCGCCCCCAGCACUCCAUCAUCUGGAGGAUGAUGUUCUGCUAUACUUUGCAUUCCUUGAGAAAAAUGGACAGCACCGUCUCCUUUGAUAUUCACAAGGUGAUUUUGUGGCUACCGAUUGCUGUGUGAAAUAACAUCAGCGCAGAUGCAGCCUGGAAGCAGAGGGGCUAUGAAGGAGGUUGGAUUUACUUUGGAUGCGGCAGCUGUAGGGGUUCAUUGGACUUCGGUGUGGCCCUCUGGCCAAGCCAUGGAAAACCCACCACGGUCAGCGGACCUCCUACGGGGGGCACCAGAGACAAGACAAGGGCUGCAGUACGCACCCAGCUGCUAGAAGGCGCUCAAUCGAGGCAUUUGCCAAUGGAUGGAAACAGAAUGGAAGUUCCUCAGAGCUGUAAGAACUUCUUCUCCCUGCUUUCUACAACAUUGAAGGAUGAAGUCAUUACUAAGGAACCUGAUGAGCCAAAGGUUUUGGAUUACUGGAGUGAGUCAUGCAGCCAGGUUGGAAGAGGAAGGGAGUUCAUGAGCAAGAUGAGCAUCCGCCUCUUCAAGCUUGGCAGGCUGGAAGAUGGGAAAGCCAAUGUUAAUAUUUGCACAGUACAGCCCAGUGCAGAAACAGAAGAGGAAGAACACAACAUAUAAUUUGCUCUCUAUUCUUACAGCUGAGAUCAGCAAUGAGUGGACCACAUUCAGGCAACAGCUGAGAUGCAUCCAAACGUGAUUUGUAGCCUGCGGAUAUAAUGGAUAUUUUGAAUACCAGCCUACACAAUUCUGGGGCAUGGGAAUGUCCUACUGAUGCUAGUGAUAGGUGUCAAAAUAAGAAUAUAGAUAAAUAUAACAUGGGAAUGAUGGUAACAAGAUAAUACUGAGCUGAGGGAUGAAUUGUCUGACACCCAUAAUAACUAUCAACAGAUUAGGGUUACCAAGUUUGGUUGGAUGUAUUCCUGGAGGUUUCAUCACAUUAAAUCAUCUUUAAUUCCUGGAGACUACAGGACAGUCCUAGAGAGUUGACAACCCUACAACAGAUGGUUAAAUGCACCCCAAGGCCUGUGAUGCACCAAUUUAACAAAGACAAUGCUAAUAAAACAGAAUGCUCAAGUGUCUGGUUCCAAAGACAUUAUAUUUCUGUAUUCUGAUUAAAUGGGCUGCAUGAUUCUGGUUAAAUCAACGUGUGUCUUUAUUUACCCUUUGACAAAGUCAUUGCGAUGCAUGAUCUGCAAGGAGGCAACAUCUCUUUGGGAUUUGACAUGACCAUGAUGAAAGCCAUUGCUGGGCACCUUUCACGUGGCAUCCUUCAAAUGCCAUAUACAGCUGAAGACUUCAUAGAUUUGAAGAUACA